rnacentral:rRNA from 1 species
AUUGAACGCUGGCGGCAGGCUUAACACAUGCAAGUCGAGCGGGGGAAGGUAGCUUGCUACUGGACCUAGCGGCGGACGGGUGAGUAAUGCUUAGGAAUCUGCCUAUUAGUGGGGGACAACAUCUCGAAAGGGAUGCUAAUACCGCAUACGUCCUACGGGAGAAAGCAGGGGAUCUUCGGACCUUGCGCUAAUAGAUGAGCCUAAGUCGGAUUAGCUAGUUGGUGGGGUAAAGGCCUACCAAGGCGACGAUCUGUAGCGGGUCUGAGAGGAUGAUCCGCCACACUGGGACUGGGACACGGCCCAGACUCCUACGGGAGGCAGCAGUGGGGAAUAUUGGACAAUGGGGGGAACCCUGAUCCAGCCAUGUCGCGUGUGUGAAGAAGGCCUUAUGGUUGUAAAGCACUUUAAGCGAGGAGGAGGCUACUCUAGUUAAUACCUAGGGAUAGUGGACGUUACUCGCAGAAUAAGCACCGGCUAACUCUGUGCCAGCCGCCGCAGUAA